rnacentral:rRNA from 1 species
CGGUAGAGAGAAGCUUGCUUCUCUUGAGAGCGGCGGACGGGUGAGUAAUGCCUAGGAAUCUGCCUGGUAGUGGGGGAUAACGUUCGGAAACGGACGCUAAUACCGCAUACGUCCUACGGGAGAAAGCAGGGGACCUUCGGGCCUUGCGCUAUCAGAUGAGCCUAGGUCGGAUUAGCUAGUUGGUGAGGUAAUGGCUCACCAAGGCGACGAUCCGUAACUGGUCUGAGAGGAUGAUCAGUCACACUGGAACUGAGACACGGUCCAGACUCCUACGGGAGGCAGCAGUGGGGAAUAUUGGACAAUGGGCGAAAGCCUGAUCCAGCCAUGCCGCGUGUGUGAAGAAGGUCUUCGGAUUGUAAAGCACUUUAAGUUGGGAGGAAGGGCAGUUACCUAAUACGUAAUUGUUUUGACGUUACCGACAGAAUAAGCACCGGCUAACUCUGUGCCAGCAGCCGCGGUAAUACAGAGGGUGCAAGCGUUAAUCGGAAUUACUGGGCGUAAAGCGCGCGUAGGUGGUUAGUUAAGUUGGAUGUGAAAU